UGUGGGCCUGGGCUAUAUUUGUACAGUUGUAGAGAAGCCCAUUAUCCAAGGGCUGUAGAGAUGGCUCAGCCGUUAAAGGCUAGACUCACAAUCAAAAAUAUA
rnacentral:miRNA from 1 species